UCGUCGGUGUCACUAGAGGAGAACAGGUUAUAUGUUUUAUAUGGUCAUUUCUAUAAUUAGUGACCAAAACUAAGUAAAAAAUUUAUUAUUUAGUUGUUCUUCUUUAUUGAGUUGCAGACAGAAAUUGGGCUUAAUUUACCUUAAGAGAUUUUGUGAUCAUUUUAUUUAAUCAACAUCUCCUUCAACUUUCUUUCGUAUGGCCAAAAAUAUACUGUUGAUAUUUUCCCUUAUUUUAUCAUCUUGAGACCUAAAAUGGAGUAUACACUUUAUAUUUUGCCUGAUUUUAUCAACUUUAUCAUUACCUAAAACAAUUUGGUUUAUCGCUGUGGUCGUGCACUGUCCGCAACUAUAAUACACCCCUUUAUCUUUAUGUUGAUGGUUGGAUAUAUAUGUGGAUUUAAUUAAAUUAAUAUUAUAAACUUGCACAGGAACUCUGAAUACAGCAAAAUUCUGUGAAACCCCUUGACGCUUCAUCUUCCACCUCUUUGUAUUCCGGGCAAUCAAAGCAUACCCAUUGACGCUGAUCAUCUUCCACCUCUUUGUUAUAUAAUCAUUUUCAAUUUAUACGAUACUUGAAAACAGAAGAAAAGCCUUCGCUGAUCUGUGAUUGACACGUCUGUCAACCCUCUCUUUCUCUCUCUCAACGUUCUGUCUUCUUUUAUAUCCAAUUAUUCUUUUCUUUUUCUCAGUGACCGCUAGCAAUCUAUCUUUCACCGAAUACCCUUUUUUGAGUCGUCGAGCCUCCGCCGCUUGUGAUCCCCUUGCCAAUGGCACCGACGCUCCUCUCGCCUGCGAUCAGUUUCAAAAAGCAAAAGGAUUGUUAGCACCAGUUAAAGUUAACAAUGGGGACUCGAAUUUCUUUGAAAGGUUCAAGUCUUUGCAAUGCUAACAUUAAUGAGGUUAAUGAAGAAUAAAUAUCAACUUCUCAUCUCUCAACAAAAACCCAUUGAUUAAAUGAAGAAAUGAUUCAAGAAGUCAAAGUGAAAUUUUUGAAUUUGUGAAGGCCCAAAGCAAAAAGAUUACACAAGGGAAAUGAA